UUUUUUGAGAGUUUGAUCCUAGCUCAGGAUGAACGCUGGCGGCGUGGAUAAGGCAUGCAAGUCAAGGGGGAACGUAACGUUUUGCGCAAGCAAAAUUGUACGUUCAACCGGCAGACGGGUUAGUAACACGUAGAUACAAACCCUUUACACAGGCAUAAUCUCGCGAAAGCGGGGCUAAUUCCUGAUAGUCCGAACGCAUAAAUUAUGUGUUCGGUAAAGGUAUAGAGCAAUCUAUGUCGGUAAAGGAUUGGUCUGCGCUUUAUCAGCUAGUUGGUAGGGUAAUGGCCUACCAAGGCGAUGACGGAUAGGCGGUGUGAGAGCAUGACCGCCAACAAUGGGACUGAAACAUGGCCCAUACUCCUACGGGAGGCAGCAGUCGAGAAUAUUGGUCAAUGGGGGAAACCCUGAACCAGCGACGCCGCGUGCUCGAAGAAGUCCUUCGGGAUGUAAAGAGCUUUUCUGGAGGAAGAAUUCGCCGCAAGGCGAAUGACGGUACUCCAGGAAUAAGGGGUGACUAAACUCGUGCCAGCAGUAGCGGUAAUACGAGUACCCCAAGCGUUAUCCGGAUUUAUUGGGCGUAAAGAGUCUGUAGGCGGUCUAGAAAGUCUCUGGUUAAAGGCCUAGGGCUUAACCUUAGGAAUGCUAGAGAAACUUCUGGACUAGAGGGCGUUAGAGGCUGGUGGAACGGUCGGUGUAGGGGUGAAAUCCGUUGAUAUCGACCAGAACACUCAAAGCGAAGGCAUCCAGCUGGGGCGACCCUGACGCUGAGAGACGAAAGCGUAGGUAGCAAAAAGGAUUAGAUACCCUUGUAGUCUACGCUGUAAACGAUGGAUACUGGCUAUCUGAAGUGUCGACCCUUCAGGUGGCGAAGCAAACGCGUUAAGUAUCCCGCCUGGGAAGUACGGCCGCAAGGCUAAAACUCAAAGGAAUAGACGGGGAUUCACACAAGCGGUGGACCAUGUGGCUCAAUUCGACAACAAGCGAGGAACCUUACCAGGGCUUGAAAGGCUAGUGAAAUCUCGUAGAAAUACGGGACUACCCACAAGGACACUAGCCCAGGUGCUGCACGGCUGUCGUCAGCUCGUACUUUGAAGCGUAUGCUUAAGUGCAACAACGAGCGCAACCCCUAUUCUGCGUUAUAAGUGUCGCGGAAAACUGCCUGGGACAACCAGGAGGAAGGUGGGGAUAACGCCAAGUCAGCGUGGCCCUUUGAUGUCCUGGGCUGCACACGUGGUACAAUGGGACCGACAAUGGGUUGCAAAGCAGCAAUGCGGAGCUAAUCCCAUCAAACGGUCUCUCAGUUCGGAUUGAGGUCUGCAACUCGACCUCAUGAAGCCGGAAUCGCUAGUAAUCGCGCAUCAGCCACGGCGCGAUGAAUAUGUUCCUGAAUCUUGUACUCACAAUAAACGCGCCCGGCAGAUAUAAAAACUAAAGAGUUAAAAUCUCUUCCUCC
rnacentral:rRNA from 1 species